CUUGGGUGUGGCCUGUAAUCAGGAAGGCCAGACACAAUAGCAGAGCACAAACUUGUUCUUGUUUUGGCCACUGCAGUUAUCACAAUUCAGGUCCACAAGUGUUUCCCCAACUCUGUAAUUGGUGAAGAAAUUCUGCUUGUUGUUGAUGACUGCGCUGCUCCUUUGCUGGAUGACAUGCCUUCAUCAAUCAAGUAGUUGACUUGUUGUGGAACUCCUUCACAGCAGACACCAAACAAGCCACACCUGCGAGGAGUUAAGGAUAGUGCACCUGCAAGCAACAAAUGAACAAUGGUCAGUGUGACAAUGGGCCAAGUAAGCUGAACAUACAAGACGGAAAGGACAUAGGACGUCUUAUUUCAUGAAAGGAGUUGGAGUCUGCCGUCAAGCUUUCAUCCAUGUUUACGGCAUCAGUAGAACACACCUGACUCUCCUUCGCCAGUCAUACAAAGAGAAUGGUCUAAUGCCUCCCUUUAAAAAGACAGCUGGCCCAAGCAAGCACGGGUUACACCUGAAGCAUGAGGACUUGCAGCGAGUGGUAAACUUCAACAACAACUACGCAGAGGAUAAUGCAAUAAAUAGUAUUACCAGGACGCCACCCAGGACACAAACACUUUGGUGGAAAGCUGCUCGCAUCCCAUGUGACAAGCAACAGUGUGGCGUCUCUACAAGGAAUCGAUGACAACACUUAAAGCUGUUAAGUAAGCCAAGGAAAAUAAGCAUCUCCUGCUUGUUCAGAGUGAGCAGUCUGUCUACCAGAAGAUGGUUACUGACUGCAAGACCACCUGUCAAGACCUGCAGUUGUCUCAGGGGGCCCCUACUGAACCAGCAAGCAAAGACAUCAGGAUGCAUUACAGCUUGCAUUUUGCUCUACAAUUCCAGGUUGGAUGGUGUUUUAAUCUGGAGUGAAGGGUAUGCUGUGGAGGGUAUGCUGUGGCAGACUUCAGAGACUCUCGGGUGAAUUCGGGUAGCCUUGGGUUCUCUCGGCAACGGAGCCGUUGGGGACUUCUGGGAUGUCUCGGAGGUGAGGUGGAAGCCUUGGGCGGGCGAGUGAAAUCAAACCUUCUCUCCUUCCUUCACUCUUGUAGUUGACCAUUCGAUCCGAAUGGUCAAGGGGUUGAACGAGUCGAGAUCCGUCCGUAGUUCCCGGUCAGGAAGCUCAUCCUUUACUUCGUCCGAUAAUCCGUGCAGGAACAUGUCAAACAAUGCUUCCUGGUUCCAGACACUCUCAGCCAACCAAAGUGCGAAAAUCCAACACGUAGUCUCCCACACUUGUCUUGAUGUAGCUGGAGCAGCUUACAAGCAGCCGUUCUCCCGGACAAUGGAGAAUCGAACUUCCUCCACGAACUCCUCCAGACUGAGGCAGAUGGCAGACUGUUGCUCCACACUGCCGUGACCCAGG
rnacentral:lncRNA from 1 species